rnacentral:rRNA from 1 species
UGGGGAAUAUUGCACAAUGGGCGCAAGCCUGAUGCAGCCAUGCCGCGUGUAUGAAGAAGGCCUUCGGGUUGUAAAGUACUUUCAGCGAGGAGGAAGGCGUUGUGGUUAAUAACCGCAACGAUUGACGUUACUCGCAGAAGAAGCACCGGCUAACUCCGUGCCAGCAGCCGCGGUAAUACGGAGGGGGCAAGCGUUAAUCGGAAUUACUGGGCGUAAAGCGCACGCAGGCGGUCUGUCAAGUCGGAUGUGAAAUCCCCGGGCUCAACCUGGGAACUGCAUCCGAAACUGGCAGGCUAGAGUCUUGCAGAGGGGGGUAGAAUUCCAGGUGUAGCGGUGAAAUGCGUAGAGAUCUGGAGGAAUACCGGUGGCGAAGGCGGCCCCCUGGACAAAGACUGACGCUCAGGUGCGAAAGCGUGGGGAGCAAACA